rnacentral:rRNA from 1 species
UACGAACUGUGCGAACGUUAUUCGGAAUCACUGGGCUUACAGGGUGCGUAGGCGGCUCAACAAGUCAGGUGUGAAAGCCCCCGGCUCAACCGGGGGAACUGCGCUUGAAACUGUUAGGCUCGAGUCAGCUAGAGGUACACGGAACUUCCAGUGGAGCGGUGAAAUGUGUUGAUAUUGGAAGGAACACCGGAGGCGAAAGCGGUGUACUGGGGCUGGUCUGACGCUGAGGCACGAA